GUGCUUGCUUCGGCAGCACACAUACUAAAAUUAGAACGAUACGGAGAAGAUUGGCAUGGCCCCUGCACCAAGGAUGACACACAAAUUUGUGAGGUGUUCCUUAUUUGG